GGCAGGGUGGCCUGGUGGAUAGAGCACUUGACUGGGUCUCAAGAAACCUGAGUUCUAUUCUUAGCUUUGCCA
rnacentral:tRNA from 1 species